AUUGAACGCUGGCGGCAGGCCUAACACAUGCAAGUCGAACGAGUGGCGGACGGGUGAGUAAUGUCUGGGAAACUGCCCGAUGGAGGGGGAUAACUACUGGAAACGGUAGCUAAUACCGCAUACCAUCGGCUGUGCCCAGAUGGGAUUAGCUAGUGGGUGGGGUAACGGCUCACCUAGGCGACGAUCCCUAGCUGGUCUGAGAGGAUGACCAGCCACACUGGAACUGAGACACGGUCCAGACUCAGACGGGAGGCAGCAGGGGGGAAUAUUGCACAAUGGGAGCAAGCCUGAUGCAGCGACGGCGCGUGAGGGAUGAAGGCUGUCGGGUUGUAAACCUCUUUCGGUACAGAACGGGUAGGUGCAGAAGAAGCGCCGGCUAACUACGUGCCAGCAGCCGCGGUAAUAC
rnacentral:rRNA from 1 species